AGGAAUAUUGGUCAAUGGACGCAAGUCUGAACCAGCCAUGCCGCGUGAAGGAUGAAGGUCCUCUGGAUUGUAAACUUCUUUUAUCUGGGACGAAAACGGGAUUUUUAUCUCAAUUGACGGUACCAGAGGAAUAAGCACCGGCUAACUCCGUGCCAGCAGCCGCGGUAAUACGGAGGGUGCGAGCGUUAUCCGGAUUUACUGGGUUUAAAGGGUGCAUAGGUGGGCUUAUAAGUCAGUGGUGAAAUCUCCGAGCUUAACUUGGAAACUGCCGUUGAUACUAUAGGUCUUGAAUUAUCUGGAGGUAAGCGGAAUAUGUCAUGUAGCGGUGAAAUGCUUAGAUAUGACAUAGAACACCAAUUGCGAAGGCAGCUUACUACAUAUAAAUUGACGCUGAGGCACGAAAGCGUGGGGAUCAAACA
rnacentral:rRNA from 1 species